AUUGAACGCUGGCGGCAGGCCUAACACAUGCGAGUCGAACGGUAACAGGAAGAUGCUUGCUUCUUUGCUGACGAGUGGCGGACGGGUGAGUAAUGUCUGGGAAACUGCUUGAUGGAGGGGGAUAACUACUGGAAACGGUAGCUAAUACCGCAUAACGUCGCAAGACCAAAGAGGGGGACCUUCGGGCCUCUUGCCAUCGGAUGUGCCCAGAUGGGAUUAGCUAGUAGGUGGGGUAACGGCUCACCUAGGCGACGAUCCCUAGCUGGACUGAGAGGAUGACCAGCGACACGGGAGCUGGGAGACGGUCCAGAAUCCUACGGGAGGCAGCGGUGGGGAAUAUUGCACAAUGGGCGCAAGCCUGAUGCAGCCAUGCCGCGUGAAUGAAGAAGGCCUUCGGGUUGUAAAGUACUUUCAGCGGGGAGGAAGGGAGUAAAGUUAAUACCUUUAAUCAUUGACGUUACCCGCAGAAGAAGCACGGGCUAACUCGGU
rnacentral:rRNA from 1 species